GCAGUCGAGCGCGAAAGGGAGCUUCGGCUCCUGAGUAGAGCGGCGGACGGGUGAGUAACACGUGGGCAACCUACCUCCGGGUGGGGAAUAACUUCGGGAAACCGGGGCUAAUUCCGCAUAACAUUUCGGGCUCAUAAGAGUCGGUCAUCAAAGCUGGGGACCCUUCGGGGCCUGGCGCCUGGGGAGGGGCCCGCGCCCGAUUAGCUAGUUGGUGAGGUAAUGGCUCACCAAGGCUGCGAUCGGUAGCCGGCCUGAGAGGGCGGACGGCCACACUGGGACUGAGACACGGCCCAGACUCCUACGGGAGGCAGCAGUGGGGAAUUUUUGUCAAUGGGGGAAACCCUGAACAAGCAACGCCGCGUGGAGGAUGAAGGUCUUCGGGUCGUAAACUCCUGUCGGAGGGGACGAAAGCGGCUAGGGUUAAUAACCUUAGUUGUUGACGGUACCCUAUGAGGAAGCCCCGGCUAACUCCGUGCCAGCAGCCGCGGUAAUACGGGGGGGGCAAGCGUUGUUCGGAAUUACUGGGCGUAAAGGGCGCGCAGGCGGCCCGGCAAGUCCCUUGUGAAAUCCCACGGCUCAACUGUGGAACUGCAGGGGAUACUGCCAGGCUUGAGUCCGGGAGAGGGUAGUGGAAUUCCCAGUGUAGCGGUGAAAUGCGUAGAUAUUGGGAGGAACACCGGUGGCGAA
rnacentral:rRNA from 1 species